rnacentral:tRNA from 1 species
GGGGGAGGCAACUAACAAGAACUGCUAACUCUUGAAUCUGGGCUUAACCCCCCAGCCCCCUUA